UAGCGACCUUUUUGGGCAGAUGUAUAGUC
rnacentral:piRNA from 1 species